rnacentral:lncRNA from 1 species
UUGUUAAACUUCGCUCUCGAUUCGAUCUCUCUUGCUCUCUACUCUCGUGUGUUAAACGUAAACGUAAGUAAAGACACAACGAUCUGUUUACCCUGUGUUCACCUCACCACUCCAAACUCGGAAUGGCAGCUAUACUCACAGGGGCCGAGAAUCAACCGGCAAUCACUAAAGAGCUCUGAUCUGAGCUUUCUUGUGUACAACAAAUGGAGUCCUCUCUGUAUCUCUCUAUCUUGUUACACGCAACAGAAUAAAGGAAAGAGAUGAACCUAAUACCGUUAAGUAAACACUCCCUCAGCUCAAUCACACGCGCAGACUUCCACACGUACCAAUGAGAGCUUAACACCUGUACACAACUUCAGUAAUAUCCAUCUAACCCUCUCGUACAACCCGAGACUCUAGAUGCCUUAGUCAAAACCUUCACCUUUAACCUUGUGAUCUGAUGACUAUAAUCCACAAUUCUCCACCUUAGGCAAAGAUCACUUCUUCACUUGUCUUCUGAUCCGAAAGACUCCACCGGUGCUCAUCAACCUGACCACCCUCAUCCCUUUACCGGAAUGAAUUUGAACUUCUUCAGUUCUUGGAGAUUCGAAGCAUCUUCAAUGCUUCCUUUACCUUAUACACUGGUAAUACCUUGGUAAAGAUGUCAGCAGGAUUAAACUCUGUAGCUAUCUUGGUAACCUUGAUCACGCCUUUGCUGAUGUAGUCCCUUCCAAAAUGAUACUUGUUGGCUACAUGCUUAGAGCGCUCGUGAAAAACUGCAUUCUUCGAUAAUGCUAUUGCACUCUGAGAAUCACAGAAGAUCUCUACUGAUUCUUGACCGAACCCAAGCUCCUCUGCAAAACCUUUAAGCCACAAGGCUUCUCGUAUAGCCUCAGACAAUGAGAUAUACUCUGCUUCAGUUGUACUCAACGCAACUACCUUCUGCAAAGAUGAUCGCCAGCUUAUGGCAUUUCCGCCUGCAGUGAAGAUCAUACCCGUAAUUGACCUUCGAUGAUCAAGGUCUGCUGCAAAAUCCGAAUCACAGUACCCUUGAAUCACAAAGUCUCCUUGAUUCUUGUAGCUAAGCCUCAUUUCCACUGAUCCUUGUAUAUACCUCAAAAUCCACUUGACAGCUUGCCAAUGCUCCUUCAUAGGUUUGCUCAUAAACCUACUGACCAGCCCUAUGGGAUAGGCCAAGUCAGGACGCGUUCCCACCAUAGAGUACAUCACACUUCCUACUGCACUCUGAUAAGGAACGUCUCUCAUGGCUUCAAGUUCUUCUUGAUAUUCAAGAUCUGUAGGCGUCUUGAGCUUAAAAUGAGAUCCCAUCGGAGUAGUAACAGGUUUGGACUGAUCCAUUCCGAAAUUGCUUAGAACUCUCCUCAGAUAACUCUCCUGAGACACCCUAAGACUUCCAUUCACUCUGUCUCUUUCUAUCUCCAUUCCUAGAAUCUUUUUAGCAUCUCCAAGAUCCUUCAUCUCAAAUUCUUUCUUGAGCAAUGUUUUCAACUCCUCCACCUGAGCUUUAUCUUUCGAUGCAAUCAAUAUAUCGUCUACAUAUAGCAGAAGAUAUACAUAUCCAGUCUUCUUCACUUCUUUGAAGUAAACACAAAAGUCAUACUGACUCCUCUCAUAGCCGCUCUUAAUCAUGAAGUCAUCAAACCUCUUAUUCCAUUGACGCGGCGACUGCUUCAAACCAUACAACGAUCUCUUAAGAAGACAAACUUUAUUUGGAUGAUCCUUGUCAACGAACCCUUCAGGCUGUUCCAUGAAUAUACGUUCAUCAAGAUACCCGUGAAGAAAGGCUGUCUUCACAUCGAGUUGUUGAAGUUCCAUAUUAAAAUGUACCACCGCAGACAGCACAUAUCGUAUUGAUACAUGUUUAACCACAGGAGCGAAUAUCUCCUGAUAGUCAAUUCCCUCCUUUUGGGCGUAACCUUUUGCUACAAGUCUCCCUUUGUGUCUUGGAGCUUCAACACCAACAAUCCCAGGCUUCCUCUUGAAAAUCCAUCUGCAACCAAUAGCUUUCUGGUCUUUAGGUCUGUCUACUAGAAUCCAUGUACCGUUCUUCUUCAGUGAAGUCAUUUCUUCUUCUGCUGCCUCAGUCCACUUAUCGCUAUCUGCAUCAUUCAUAGCCUCUUCAUAACUUGCUGGCUCUGUUCCUCCAUCUUCCGACAUCAGGCAGAUCAUGUAUAGGAAACCCUCUUCAUACUCAGACAAUUCACACUCGUAGUCUUCUAAUCUCACAGGUGGUCUCGAAGUUCUUUUAGGCCGGUCUCUGGCCAGCUGAUAAUCAUCAGAAGCAUCCUUAUCUUGACUGGAAUCUCCAUUCUCGGGACCCUCUUCAUUUACUGCUCCACCUUGAUUAUCAUCUUCUGAUGAUUCAAUCUGUUUAGUGAGAUUGAGUUUUACCACCCCCGUAGCAUUUUCUAUGCCUCUUGAAUCAUCACUAUGUUUGAGAUCCUUGAAAACUUGAUCUUCACGAAACACCACGUUUCUACUAAUGAUGCACUUCUGAUCAUCGAUCAGCCAGACUCUAUACCCUUUAACUCCUUCUGGGUAUCCAAGAAAUACUCCCUUCUUAGCUCUGGGAUUCAACUUUCCCUCGUCAGCAUGAAUGUACGCCAAACACCCAAACCUUCUCAAACCUUCUAGGCUAGGCAUUGUUGAUGUCCAAAGCUCUUCAGGCACUUGAAAAUUAAUCACUGAAGAUGGUGAUCUGUUGAUAAGAUAGACGGCUGUUGAUGCUGCUUCUGCCCAAAAACGUUGGCUCAAACCGCUCUCACUAAGCAUCGUCCUAACCUUGUUCAUGAUAGACCUGUUGAGCCUCUCAGCAACCCCAUUUUGCUGAGGUGUAUAUGUGCAUGUUCUAUGUCUGACUAUCCCUUCAUCUCUGCAGAAGCCAUCAAAUAGAGCAUUGCAAAAUUCUAAUCCAUUGUCUGUCCUCAGCUUCUUAACCUUUCUCUCUGUCUGUGUCAGAUCUUAGUGUGUUCUUCACUGAUACAUGACACUCCUGGUCCUGAAGUUUCGACUUUCACUGGAUUACCAUUUGUAAUGGCUUUCCCUUGAAGAAAAUAGAGUGAUUCAUGUCUAGUUCCUUUCAGCAUAACAAUGCAGCCUCUUAUCACCUUUAGGAUCCCUUUAGCACUUUUGAAUUCACACCCUUUUGCCUCCAACGUGCCAAGAGAUAUCAGGUUUCUAGAUAUGUCCGGGAUAUAUCUGACCUCAUGUAGCACCACUGUAGUGCCGUCUUGAUUCUGAAAUCUUACUGAACCAAAACCCCUGACUUCUGAAAAAGAAUUGUUAGCCAUUCUAACUUUUCCAACUGCAGCUUCCGUGUAGUUAAUGAAGACAUCCUUCCUUGGUGUCAUGUGAAAUGAGCAGCCAGUGUCCAUGAUCCACUCAUCAUAUCUGACAUCAUCUUGGCUCAAGUUAAUCUCAGACACUAGCAAACCAACCAAGUCAUGCGCAUCAUCUUUCACUGUUGAGGUUUCACCUUGAUCUUGAGACUGAUUGUAGCCUUUACCUUUGUUGCGGUCAAGCCACUUAUAGCAUUGCUUCUUGACAUGACCCUCUUUUCCGCAGAUCCAGCAGGUUCGCUUACUAUCCUUUGAUUGAGAUCUCGACCUGGACCUGUUCUUAGAUUUGCCAAAAUUCACAGUCCUACCAGUUCUAGAUUCAUUUCUUCCUCUAGCAAAAUGACCUUCUCCAUUAGUCCUAACAGUUGAUGAAUCUUCGUACUCGGUUUCUUUUGAUCUUGCUGCGCUUGCUACUUCAUCUAAUCUGAUAGCUUCCCUACUAUAUUUCAAUGUCUCUUUCAGAGAAUCAUACCUAGAUGGUAAAGCAUUCAAGAGCAAUAUAGCUUGUACCUCCUCGGGGAUUUCGAUGCUGAGAUUACUGAGAUCCGCAAUCAGUUUCAAGAAGUCGUCUACGUUCUGGUCGAUGGUUCUUGAAUCCUGCAUCCUGAAGGAGUAUACCUUGAGCUGCGCAUGAACCCGAUUCGGAAGCGUCUUCGCCAUGUACAGCUUAUCCAGAAGCGUCCAAACUUGAGCUGCGGUUUCGCACUUGUCAAGCUUCCUCAGGACGUGAUCUCCAACACUCAUGAAGAUGAGAUUCAUCGCCUUCUCAUCACGCUCCGAUCUUGAGAGCUCUUCUUUCUCAAUCUUCUUCUUCGAAUCUGGAUCUUGAUCAUCGUCAUCGUCUGUUGACUUCUUGAUCUUCGUAGAUUCGGUGAGAACGUCUUUCAAUCCUUGGACACUGAGAUUCGCUAGCAUACGCUUCUUCCAGAUCCCGAAAUCUCCCGUCCCAUCGAACAUCGUUAUCGUCAGCUCGAUCUUCUGAGUCGCCAUCACCGAUCGAAUCGAUUAGCCAGAGAACCUGGCUCUGAUACCAAUCUGUUAAACUUCGCUCUCGAUUCGAUCUCUCUUGCUCUCUACUCUCGUGUGUUAAACGUAAACGUAAACGUAAGUAAAGACACAACGAUCUGUUUACCCUGUGUUCACCUCACCACUCCAAACUCGGAAUGGCAGCUAUACUCACAGGGGCCGAGAAUCAACCGGCAAUCACUAAAGAGCUCUGAUCUGAGCUUUCUUGUGUACAACAAAUGGAGUCCUCUCUGUAUCUCUCUAUCUUGUUACACGCAACAGAAUAAAGGAAAGAGAUGAACCUAAUACCGUUAAGUAAACACUCCCUCAGCUCAAUCACACGCGCAGACUUCCACACGUACCAAUGAGAGCUUAACACCUGUACACAACUUCAGUAAUAUCCAUCUAACCCUCUCGUACAACCCGAGACUCUAGAUGCCUUAGUCAAAACCUUCACCUUUAACCUUGUGAUCUGAUGACUAUAAUCC